CACCUCUGCAUCGUAGGCGGGAGGCGUGCGGCCACGUCCGGGCCGUGCUCGGUGACGGGGUCAGGGCGCUCGGCCUCGCCCGGCGGAGGGGCCGGAGAGUGUCACCUCCCCCUGUAAUCUGCCCCCCCACACCGCUGGACCCGGCCGUGUGCCCGACUCAGGGCCGGGUGCUGGAGGGCCAGCACCGUACUCGGGCCGGCUCGCCCUGCUGGAGGGACACACACGGACCGGGGCCUGGCCGGGUGAGGGGUGCCACGCUGUGCGAGAGACACACGUGUGGCCUCGGGCCAUCAGCCUGGCCUGGGGGGGGGGCGGGGGGAAGAUAAGGCAUGAGGCCUGCAGGCAGGGGCAGCAGGAGAACUGGGCAGAAUAGUGACAGGCACACAGUAGGUGCUCAGUUAAUGCCUGAUGAGUAAGUGAAAUGAACCCUGUGAAGCAGGAGAACACUGAAACCCAGGGGAACGUCCUUCUAAGGUCACGGGUGCCCCCUAUUUGCCUGGCCCCAGAGCUGCGCCCCUCCCUGCCCGAGAGGCCAGGCCGGCACCCCCGGGCCUGCCCACAGAGCGAGGAUGGGGCACACAGCUUGAACCUCUCCAUGCGUCGAGGCCCCGGGGCUCGUGCCCGGGAGCCCGCUCUGUCCUCUGUUUUGCUGGCGAGCCAAGCGGGACAGGAACGGCCAAUUCCCUGAAUUCCUGCCCAAACCCGGGGGGCGGCUCCGGGCGGGCAGAGGAGCUCCCUGUGCGCCUGGCUGCUUCACGAGGCUUCCCUGCCAGGAGGCCCAUUUAGGAAACGGGUGGCAGGGAGGGGCUGCGGGGGCGUGAGGGGUGACGGCUGCCAGCCAAUGCCGGGGCCGCCAGCCGCUCCACCCCUCGGGCUCCCAGCGGCUGGGGGCGGGGGGAGGGUGGCACUCCCCGGCGGGGCUGAGCCUCUGGGUACCUGUGGGCCAAAACCACUCAGAAACCACAGGCCAAAUGAGUCCGCUUUGUAAAGUGCCCAGGGAGUGAGGGAGACACCGUGGUUUCUGUUCCAGCAUCCCGGCCCGGUGAGGCGCGAGGCAGCGACACCACGGGAGGGACGGGGAACGUGCCCCGAGCUGCCCCCCGGGUCUUCGGGCUUGCGCUGACCGUGGGCCGCGGGACAUGUGUUCGGGACACCCUCCGGUGUCUGACAGGUCUGCUGAUGCCCGAGGUGUCCUCCCCCAGCCCCAGGACAGCGACAAAGGCACCAAGCAUGUCCCGGCAGGGAGGAAAGAGGCCAGGAGGGGCGACAGGGCCCAGCCGCCAAGACUGACGCACAGGGGACCGACCUCUUGGCCGCGGCAGUGUUCCUGCCGCAGUCUGGGUGCCCCCUCCCGGGGGUCAGGCUGGGUCUCCCCUCCCUGGGCCCCAGUGUCCACAUAGCACCUGCUGGCCCUGCCCUGGAGGCGGCAGACCCCGGGCUGGGUACCCCCUGCACCGCCUCCCCUCCCCGUCAUCUGGGAACCGGGCCCCCGGACCGCCCUGGGGGAGACGACGCCGGCCCACCCAGCACGCCCGGGGCACACGAAUCUAAUUUCUUUUCAGUGUGGCCCUUUCACGUGCAGUCGGGUAUGAUGCCGUCUCCUCCCUGCACCCCACCAUGAAGCGGGUGCCGUCACCCCAUUCUGCGGGUGAGGACGCCGAGGCCGCAGGAGAAGGGAUCGGCCAGGACCACAGCCGGAGCUGUGGGUUUUACUUCUUAUUCCUGGGCCAGCAGCGAACCAGGUACGGGGAGACAGGCCCUGGUGCGGCCCGAGGUCGGAUGGACCCCCCUGUGGCCUGUGCCUCCCCGGGCGUCUCUCCCCUUUCCAAGCUGGGGUCCUGGGAGGAUUCGGGAGGGCUGUCCACGGAGCAGCGGCUACCUUCCCACAGUCUUCUGGGUCAGGGAGAGCACCUCCACCGGCUAGGGGACCCCUCUUCUGCAUCCAUCCCCCUGGUGAGAUGCCCACCACCCCGGGGCUCAGCCCCUCACCCGAGGGACACGCCUGGCCUGGCGUCCAGGGGUCAAGCAUGUGGCUCACCAGUCUGAAGCCCAGACAUCCUCUGAGAGCCUCAGGCUUGCCUCCCGAAAGGGAGGGGUGACUCACCCACCUGGAGAGCUAGCUCGGGGGACACACGUGUGACAUGUGCUCGGCACACAGCAGGCCAGCACCGUCCUCCUUAGCAGGGUCCUCCCUCUCCCCCACCUCCCGGGACAACCAGUACUCCCCGCCUUCCCCCCCCCCACCCCCCCCCCCCGCUCCAGGCCGCCUGGUAUGGGGUCCUCGUCCCGCUCAGGAGGUCUCAGAGCCCCGUGUCCACACCAAGGCGCUGUCGUUGGGCUCCCGGCGGCCUUCUUGGCGGGCGCCUCUGUGCCACGUGCUGGGCUCUGGGCCCCACCUCCAGUGCAAUCCGCCUGGCCGUCGUGCAACCCCAGGCAGGAAGCAGCACCUUCAGGAAGGUUCGAGUGACCCUCCUGGGCCGGGAGCCCUGCCGUCCAGCUGUGGCCACGCUCGGGCGCGUCCGGGCCACCGGCCGGCCGGUCCGCUGCAGGACCCACGUAAUCUGCCCAAAGCAGCACGGCUAGUUAGAAGUUUUAUUGAUUGAACACGAUCGAGUGGAAAUAGUGAAAGUUCUCCCGAUGUAACCCACUUUUUCUUAAUGGGUAAUCUCAGACACUCGAGUUUGUAUGUUAAAGGAGCUUUAGGACAAUUUAAUAGCUCAUAAAAUUUUAUAGUCCCAGUUGAAAUCAGAGUGAUAACUCUGGCCUGCACAGC